rnacentral:rRNA from 1 species
UACGGAGGUGGCAAGCGUUAUCCGGAUUUACUGGGUGUAAAGGGUGCGUAGGCGGGCUUGCAAGUCAGAAGUAAAAUCUAUGGGCUUAACCCAUAAACUGCUUUUGAAACUGUAAGUCUUGAGUGAAGUAGAGGUAGGCGGAAUUCCCGGUGUAGCGGUGAAAUGCGUAGAUAUAUGGAAGAACACCAGUGGCGAAAGCGGCUCUCUGGUCUGUAACUGACGCUGAGGUUCGAAAGCGUGGGUAGCAAACAGG